CCUGGGGUGGAGGGAAAAGGAUUGGGGAAGAUAUGGAGGGAAAAACUAAAUACGUAUCUGUUGUAAAUAGGGAAAUAAUUAAAUAAUAUGGGAAAUGCGGCGGUGGGUACGGCAGUGUGUGAAGGGCGAGGAACACUCACCGGAUCACGUGGGACCCUCCAGCGUCAUGUGAUCCCGUUUCGCUCAGAUCGGCAGCAACAUCUGCGGGUUUGAUUCCGAGGCCCCGCCCACCGCCUGUUGACGCAAAAAGCACAUUGCGCAUGCUCACAGUCCCGGGAUCGGCAGUGUUGGUUUUUCGUUGUGUGUGGAAGCGGGUCGACAGAGGGAUCGGGAUCGGGAGGGGGUCCUCGCCCCCUUGGAUGGGGAGCCGGAGACAGAUUAUUCUCUGCGGGUCAACACCAAAAAUUUUCCUUCGAUCUGCGGUGAGAAAUUUAUUGGAAGAAAUAUCCACAACUGGAAGCAAACCACAACUGAAGACGAGGGAGCAGCAACAAGUGAACCAGUCCGAGGAUUGAGAGCAUCAACUGGAGAGGACCCAUCUGACUCGGAGAUUCCAGUGAUUCAGUCAGGAGAAAGUUUGGUGGGAAAUUGAAUCGGAUACGGAAAGUACUCAAGAGGUUUAUUUCAGGCAACUCAUCGAGGGAAGAUGAUCAGGACAUGGGAAGCAAGAUACUAAAGCGGGGUCAGACUGAGAGCAAUGUCCCAAUGGAAAGCAGUCCAGCCGCAGAAAAGGAGGAGCAAAUUCAGCCCAGAGACAGUGACGUCAGAGACACCAAUCAGGAAUCUGGAACCAGCACAAGAGAGGUGAUCGCCUGUCAGCUCAGAAGCUCAUUGAUCACGGAAUUGUCCAGGCCCCACCAAGGAGCAGAGCCAGAGUUUACAAUCUCCGACCUCCUGGCAGAGGGGGGCGAGUAUCGACUGUACCAGCUGAC